rnacentral:tRNA from 1 species
GGCGCUCUGGUGGAAUUGGUAGACACGCGGCACUCAAAAUGCCGUGGGGCAACCCGUCCCGGUUCGAGUCCGGGGAGCGCUA